UUUUUAACAACUUUCCACUUUGUAGCCUCUCUGCUCUGAAUUUCUUUGCAAUGCAGUGCGUUGUUCUGCACCCCCAAAGAUAUUUUUUGCAAUUAAUGGAUAAAGGCCAUAUGGUUUGUGAUGGGCAGUGUCUUCCACAGUGCUGUGUACAUCCUGUGUUUUUUCCAAGCAGAUGUUGUCAGUUUGCUGCUACAUGGACUUUCUGAUAUUCUGUUAGUAUUCUCAGUCUUUCAGAAUUACACCAAAUACUCCACUGAAUAGAAGAUUCAUUUCACAGCUUUCUUGGGAGAGAAUAUCAGUGGUGAAAAGAAAAAAAAAGCAUCUUUAAGCCUGUGAUCGGACAUCAGAAAAAUACUUUUCUUCACACAUUAGGUACUUUAUGUAAUCCUGUAUUAAAAGAAGAAGGUUGCUGUGGAGUAACUGGAGAGAAGAAUUUGUUUCUCUAUCAAAAAUUGGAUAUAACAGUUUCUGUGAGAAACAACAUGGGCACAAAAGCACUUGUUAAGUCUCUGAGGUUGCUUUUGUGGAAGAAACCGUGU